UUCCAGACUCCUACGGGAGGCAGCAGUGAGGAAUAUUGGUCAAUGGGCGCGAGCCUGAACCAGCCAAGUAGCGUGAAGGAUGACUGCCCUACGGGUUGUAAACUUCUUUUGUGCGGGAGCAAUAAUGGUCACGUGUGGCCAGACGAGAGUACCGUACGAAUAAGCAUCGGCUAACUCCGUGCCAGCAGCCGUGGUAAUACGGGGGAUGCAAGCGUUAUCCGGAUUUAUUGGGUUUAAAGGGUGCGUAGGCUGUGAGGUAAGUCAGCGGUGAAAUGCCCCCGCUCAACGGGGUGAAGUGCCAUUGAUACUGCCUUGCUGGAAUGCGGAUGCCGUGGGAGGAAUGUGUGGUGUAGCGGUGAAAUGCAUAGAUAUCACACAGAACACCGAUUGCGAAGGCAUCUCACGAAUCCGCGAUUGACGCUGAUGCACGAAAGCGUGGGUAUCAAACAGGAUUAGAUACCCUAGUAC
rnacentral:rRNA from 1 species